AAGGAAAACCUAUAUUCUGAGGUGACAAAAGAAGCUCUCCUGCCCCUUAACACUGGUCUGAAACAGGAGGAUGUUGUGUGCAGAAGAUGACUAAGAUCACAGGGUUGCUCACCAGGCCUGGAGGCAGCAGCCUUCUACUGGUGUUCCAAAUGGCAGCUUUGGCGAUGCUGGUAUCAGAACACACUAUGCUGGAAGUAAUUUAUGCAUCUACCACAAAUUAGCUGGAAGGAGGAGAAACCCUGAAUUUGAAUUGCCUCAUCAGGCAUCAACAGGAUCAGUCAUCACAAAUGAAGGCUCACUGGUAUAAAAAAAACCAAAGAUGCAAACUGAGGCUGGGUUUGGAAAGGAGAUAGAAAGCUUGUACCUCUCCUGAAACUUAGACCCCAAGGCAAAAUUCACAUCCUCUCUGCUCCUGAAAAUUCAGAAUGUCAAGCAGACAGUGGCCGCUAUCAAUGCAGAGCCAAAAGAAAGAACACUUUCU